UACGUAGGGUGCAAGCGUUAAUCGGAAUUACUGGGCGUAAAGCGUGCGCAGGCGGUUUUGUAAGUUUGUCGUGAAAUCCCCGGGCUCAACCUGGGAAUUGCGAUGAAGACUGCAAGGCUAGAAUCUGGCAGAGGGGGGUAGAAUUCCACGUGUAGCAGUGAAAUGCGUAGAGAUGUGGAGGAACACCGAUGGCGAAGGCAGCCCCCUGGGUCAAGAUUGACGCUCAUGCACGAAAGCGU
rnacentral:rRNA from 1 species